rnacentral:rRNA from 1 species
GACAGAGGUGCCAAGCGUUAGGCGGAAUCACUGGGCUUAAAGCGUGUGUAGGCGGGUCGUUAAGUGUCUUGUGAAAUCCCCCGGCUCAACCGGGGAAUGGCUGGGCAUACUGGCGAUCUUGAGCAGUCUAGGGGCAGAUGGAACAGACGGUGGAGCGGUGAAAUGCGUAGAUAUCGUCUGGAACGCCAAAGGUGAAGACAGUCUGCUGGGGACUUGCUGACGCUGAGGCACGAAAGCCAGGGGAGCAAACGGG